GACAGAGGCCUCAAGCGUUAGGCGGAAUCACUGGGCUUAAAGCGUGUGUAGGCGGACUUCUAAGUGCCUUGUGAAAUCCCACGGCUCAACCGUGGAACUGCUGGGCAUACUGGGAGUCUUGGGCCAUUCAGGGGCAACUGGAACAAGCGGUGGAGCGGUGAAAUGCGUAGAUAUCCGGAGGAACACCAGUGGCGAAGGCGACUUUCUGGCCUGUUCUUGACGCUGAGGCGCGAAAGCUAGGGGAGCAAACGGG
rnacentral:rRNA from 1 species